rnacentral:rRNA from 1 species
AUUGAACGCUGGCGGAAUGCUUUACACAUGCAAGUCGAACGGCAGCACGGGGCAACCUGGUGGCGAGUGGCGAACGGGUGAGUAAUACAUCGGAACGUGCCCAAUCGUGGGGGAUAACGUAGCGAAAGUUACGCUAAUACCGCAUACGAUCUACGGAUGAAAGCGGGGGAUCGCAAGACCUCGCGCGAGUGGAGCGGCCGAUGUCAGAUUAGGUAGUUGGUGGGGUAAAGGCUCACCAAGCCAACGAUCUGUAGCUGGUCUGAGAGGACGACCAGCCACACUGGAACUGAGACACGGUCCAGACUCCUACGGGAGGCAGCAGUGGGGAAUAUUGGACAAUGGGCGAAAGCCUGAUCCAGCAAUGCCGCGUGAGUGAUGAAGGCCUUAGGGUUGUAAAGCUCUUUUACCAGGGAUGAUAAUGACAGUACCUGGAGAAUAAGCUCCGGCUAACUCCGUG